GAGGCGGAACCCCCUUUAGGCGCUGCACGCCGUCACUAGCCCAACAGCCCCGUGAGGCCCUCGCCUCCCGGAACUCAGCCGGAUCUACCACCGCAGAACCACAGCUAGAACCAGACCCGCUCCUGCCCAGCCGCCACACUCCACCCUCGGCUGACACUCACGCCAAAGAGUACCGUGGCAUCCCCUCCACCUCCCGGUACCUGGCAUCGGCUCGCGACGGCGGCGUAGCUCCUCUAGAGCACCACUUCCGGGUGUGUCCCAAACGGUGCGCAAAACAAACUGUCCCUCCACCGCUACCGCCCGAUUCCGCAGCCGGACCAGAUUUGUCAGGCUAGAAAAGCAACUCCAUGCAUCCUCUCGGAGGAGACACUUUUCAGCUUCACUAGCCUGCGUCCCCACUUCGACCCCGCUAGUGGUGAGGACAAAGCCCUAGCAAGUGCCCCGGGGAGUGGGGGCGGACUAGUAGAGCGGAGGCACCGGAAAUCCGGAAGUGGAUCUCCGAGGGAGCAUUACUUUACUGAGUCACAGAGAACAAAAGGGCUGAAAAAAGUGAUCCAAGAGAAGAGAAUAAAGACAUUAAUUGAUGGUGAUGCCCAGGACCAGCAGUGGAAAGAUACUGUAGGACUUUAAGAUCAUAAAACUGAUAAAUGUUCAUCGAAAAUGAAAGAAAUACAAAAAAUUACAAAUAAGAAGUUAAAUUCACCUACAGUGCCAUCAUCCUAAGAAAAUGAAGACGAAGCACUUACUGAUGAAGAUCAAAGACUACAGCCUUCAAUGUGGAUUUUACCUCAACAUAAAGAAAAGAAAAAUUCCACAACUGGACCAAUAAGCAACAUCAUGAUAAAUGGAAAAAAGAUUGAAGUUGUCAAGGAUUUCAUUUUACUUGGCUCCACAACCAAAGCCCAUGGGAGCAGUGGUCAGGAAAUCAAAAGACACAUUGCAUUGGGCAAAUCUGCUGCAAAAGACCUCUUUAAAGUGUUGAAAAGCAAAGAUGUCACUUUGAGGACUAAGGUUCACCUAACCCAAGCCAUGGUGUUUUCAAUUGCCUCAUAUGCAUGUAAAAGCUAGACAAUGGAUAAGGAAGACCAAAGAAGAACUGACAUCUUAGAAUUAAGGUGCUGGUGAAGAAUGUGGAAUAUACCAUGGACUGCCAGAAGAAUGAACAAACCUGUCUUUGAAGAAGUACGGAUAGAAUGCUUCUUAGAAGCAAAGAUGGCAAGACAGAGCACCCAGUAACCAGAGGUGUACAAUUUCCCACUCCUCACCCUUCUGCCCUGUAGGCUGCUUCUGCCACUUCCCAAUGGGCCAGGUUGCUCAGUGCCUCCCCAGGUCCACCCCAUCCCCCACCAGCUGGCUCCCCUCAGCACCAUUUUUUUUUUCUCUUUCCCUUUCUUCCUUUCCCUUCUCUCUCCCACCUAGCCCCGUGCACUGCCUCUACCCCUUCCUGACAGGCCACACUGUGCCACUCGGCAAGGGAGACUCGU